UACGUAGGGUGCAAGCGUUUAAUCGGAAUUACUGGGCGUAAAGCGUGCGCAGGCGGUUUUGUAAGUCUGUCGUGAAAUCCCCCGGGCUCAACCUGGGAAUUGCGAUGGAGACUGCAAGGCUAGAAUCUGGCAGAGGGGGGCAGAAUUCCACGUGUGAGCAGUGAAAUGCGUAGAGAUGUGGAGGAACACCGAUGGCGAAGGCAGCCCCCUGGGUCAAGAUUGACGCUCCAUGCACGAAAGCGUGGGGAGCAAACGAGGAUAGAAACCCCGAGUAGAUCCGA
rnacentral:rRNA from 1 species